UAGCGGAGCGUGUGGUUUAAUUCGAGGAUACGCGAAGAACCUUACCUGGGUUUGACAUGAUGGUGGUAGCUUACAGAGAUGUGAGUGACCUUCGGGAGCCAUGACAGGUGCUGCAUGGUUGUCGUCAGCUCGUGCUGUGAGGUGUUCGGUUAAGUCCGCAAACGAGCGCAACCCUCGGCGUUAGUUACAAGUGUCUAGCGCAACUGCCCGUGGCAAACGGGAGGAAGGUGGGGAUGACGUCAAAUCAGCAUGGCCUUUAUAUCCAGGGCUACACACACGCUACAAUGGCGCAUACAAUGGGUCGCGAAGCCGCGAGGUGGAGCCAAUCCUGAAAGUGCGUCUCAGUUCGGAUUGCAGGCUGCAACUCGCCUGCAUGAAGUCGGAGUUGCUAGUAACCGCGA
rnacentral:rRNA from 1 species